rnacentral:rRNA from 1 species
GAUGAACGCUGGCGGCGUGCCUAAUACAUGCAAGUCGAGCGAACAGAUAAGGAUCUUGCUCCAUUGACGUUAGCGGCGGACGGGUGAGUAACACGUGGAUAACCUACCUAUAAGACUGGGAUAACUUCGGGAAACCGGAGCUAAGACCGGGUAACAUAUUUAACCGCAUGGUUCAAGAGUGAAAGGCGGCUUUGCUGUCACUUAUAGAUGGAUCCGCGCCGUAGUAGCUAGGUGGGAAGGUAACGGCUUACCAAGGAAACGAUACGUAGCCGACCUGAGAGGGUGAUCGGCCACAGUGGAACAGAGACACGGGCCAGACUCAGACGGGAGGCAGAAGUCGGGAAUAUGCCGCAAUGGGGGAAAGCGUGCAGGAGGAACGACGCGUGAGUGAUGAAGGUCUUCGGAUCGUAAAACUCUGUUAUUAGGGAAGAACAAAUGUGUAAGUAAAUGUGCAGAUUUUGGCGGUACGUGAAAAGAAAGCCACGGAUAAAUACG